UGUAAUAAGCUCAUCAAUUGAUCAUACUGUUGUCUGCUCAACCCUGGUAUCACAGAACUCUAGCCAUCUAUGUUUGUACCAGAUUGAUGGCUUUGAGGAGGAUUCCCUUGGGGAAUAGACACAUGUCCUUCAGAAGGAGGAAAAUCCACACCACCAGUAAGAUGAGCAGCAGCAGUUCUCCUACCCUUGUUAAAUGUUGUAUUUUGUGGAUACCCAUGAAUCUUGAAACACUUAUCAAUUAAGUGCCCAGAUUUUUUGCAGUAUCUACAGAAUAAAGGCCCUCUAGCUUGGUCAAAAUUGACUCUUUGUAAAGUAGGAGAAGGAUUAGGCACUGUGGCAUUAUUGAAUCCAACUUAAUGUCUAUUAGUGUUGACAUUGAAAGACAUAGAGUCUGGAUUAAACUGAGAAGGGGACUGGACUUGUCUCUGCUUCUCNN
rnacentral:lncRNA from 1 species